rnacentral:snoRNA from 1 species
GGGAGAAGUGAUGAUAUCAUAUCCAAAUAAUAUAUCUGCAUUUAUUAUGAUGAUCACAUCAUGCACUACCAUCUGAUCUCUC